GGCCAGGUAGCUCAGUUGGUACGAGCGUCCGCCUGAAAAGCGGAAGGUCGCCGGUUCGAUCCCGGCCUUGGCCACCA
rnacentral:tRNA from 11 species